CUAAGUACCCAAAAACACACUUAGUAACUCCACUGCAAGAACACAUGACUACUGCAUGGGAGCACACACUGUGUGCACCUCACAUCAUUGCAGUGUGGGGUACAGUGGUAAACCCCACAAUAAACAUAGGAGUGCGCACGGGGUGUGUCGCGGCAAGCCUAUGGGUUGAGACCGGCAGGGGAGAUCUCAGGAUCUCCCCUGUCAGCUCGUGCAGAGCCGGCGCUAUCCGAGCGGCGGCUCUGCUCUAAGCCUCCAUGCGCCGGUGGGCAGAUCAAAGAUCUCCCUCAGCAGCCCACAGCAG